rnacentral:rRNA from 1 species
GACGAACGCUGGCGGCGUGCUUAACACAUGCAAGUCGAACGAAGUGGCGAACGGGUGAGUAACGCGUAAUCAACCUGCUCUUCAGUGGGGGACAACAGUUGGAACCGACUGCUAAUACCGCAUACUGUAGUUGGGGAUUUCGUGUGAUUAGCUAGUUGGAGGGGUAACGGCCCAACAAGGCGAGGAUCAGUAGCCGGUCUGAGAGGGUGAACGGCCACAGUGGGACUUGGAAACGGCCCAGAAUCCUACGGGAGGCAGCAGGGGGGAAACAUCCGAAAUGGAGGAAAGUCUGGAGGAGCAAAGCCGCGGGAGGGGAGACGGCUUUCGGGUUGGAAAGCUCUUUUAAUCGGGACGCGGUACCGGAAGAGAAAGCCACGGCUAACUACGUGCCAGCAGCCGCGGUAAUUC